CUAUGACUUGUGUACGCUGGGCAAGUGCGAGCAGUGGAGAUUGCGUAGUGCUGCUUGACCUCAUCAUGGCCGGCAGCUAGCGGCCGUGGCGACGGUGAUUGAGGUUGGUGGUGCGGAGGAGGCGGGGAGUGUGUGACGAAGGGUGCACUAUUUCGUACUUAUUUCCCAGACAAAAUGGUGGGUGCUGGUCUUGCAAGCCGCUUUUACCAAAUCUAGUGGGCUGCUUGUGCAUGCUUGGAGGCCAUUUCUGACCCAGGCGGGGACCGCGCCGCCGCGCGUUCGAGCAGCUAUUGUUGCGCCGGGCACCAGCGAGACCGGAUCUCGCUGUCGCCGGGGAGGUCGCAGGUGCCGGGGCAGAGCUUUGGUGUUGCGUUGAACGGCCUGUCGUUCCUUGUCGCUUAGUCUUAUGAAGAGCUACAGGGACCUGAGCUUGCAUUUUUUUUCAGGUUCACAUUGUAAGUGCCAACUGAAGAUUAUUUCUUGUACUUUAUUCGCAGCAGUGUUGUACUCCAUAGUAUUUUUAAUUUGCUGUUAGCAAGACAUACAACUCACAGAGAAUCAAUGCUGAAGCUAGACACUGGAUUAUUGCGAGUUCUGAGCGUUUAACUCAGCCUCCAGCUACCUGAAUGUUUGGUGGCAUUUGGUUUGGAGCAGGCUGCAAGGACCUAAAGCCAAGCUUCUGAAUUUCCACGGUGUCCCUUUUCACCUGGACCAUCUACAGUGUGCGUAACAACAGGGUUCUUCAGAAUAACUACACUUUCAGUUCAGCCAAUCUUUUAUUGAACUAAGGUAGAUGCAAGGAAUUGAUUCCUGCAAGUGUUCAGCGUCUUUCUUUGUAAGGUCAUUUGCUUUGAUCAUAAUGUAUUUUUUCUGGUCAUGUCGUUCAGUGCUUAUAUUCAGUUUCCUCAUAAUUGGGGGUUGUGAAUUGGAUUAUUCAUUAUGCCUUUUGUCUUAAAAAAGGCCUUAUGAGCCAGAAGUUGGUUCAUAUGUGUCAAUUAUUUUCUUAAACUGCAAAGGCCUUACCUUCUGUGCGUAUAUAUGUCACCUAAUUUUGUUAUAGGUUUGUUGAGCAGAAGCUCACUUGUGCAAGCAAGAUGCCAUUGAUUUGCUUAUAUCCAGUUCUGCUAUUAAGUGACUGAAGCAAGGUGUGUUCCUCUCUAUUGUGCUGGGCUCAUAUAGAUUUGCCGAAGUAUAGUUUCUGCAAAUUGUGAAGUGAAUCCUAAUGUGCGAAACUCUGGUCUUGUAGUAUGUUCCUGUCUAUUGUAGAAAGUAAUCAAUCUGUUUUAAACUAAGAACAUUGGUAACAUUCACAUCCUUAAUAUAAUAACUAUCCUUAUCCUGGUCGAUGCCAAGUACUCUUUCGUAUCUUGGUCGAUACAAAUAGACUCUCAUACUAUUUUUUCCAUAAACUACAGAUCCACUAAUUAUCUAGAUAACAUCCUUUUUCUCCUGGGCUUUGCUUUCCGUACUUCAUCUUCAUCUUCAAGCAUUGAAUUUUGGCUUUUGCUUUAACAUGUUUCUUGUUACCGCGGACACUUUUUUCCUUUUGUUCAGGCAUAUUCGUCUGACUGCAUACAUCCUCCGACCCAUCUGAUAUUACAACAGAUCUUAGUCUCCUUUUAUUGCCACUGCGGAGCUCACGUGAUGAUGAUGAUAUUUUGUCUUGAUGCUUAUCUUUGUUUAAUGUAGUCCCAUUGCUCUCAUGUGGCUCCUCUUUCACUGGCACCAGUUCGCAUGAAAGUUUGCCAGGGGAAACUUUAUCAUUUGUGACUGCAAACAUAUACAUUUUGAAAAUUAGACACAUCUCUAAAAAUCUAAAUUAUGUACAUAGUUUAAAAUAUCAAUCACCUUUCUAUCUGGCAUGUUCUGCUUCUUCAUUAACACAGUGUCCACCUCAUCAUCCAUCAAUUCUUCUGAAACAUAUGUAAGAUGAAUUAGUUAAGGAAUUCUGAAGAUGGUAAAAAGGUAAUGCAGCUUUACCUCCUCGGCUUUAUUGUCCAAGUAGAGCAACUCAAGCCUAUCAUCAAGCACAAAUGUUCUUUUUACUGCAUAGUUUUGUGUGCCAAAUGUGAGAUUAUUAUCAAUGAGCUUGAAUCGAAAUAUAAGUCUUUUUCCAUAUAAUUGUUGAAUAAUCUUUGGCACUGCUUCCGAUUUCCCAUCUAGUGUGUCCAGCAACUUAGAUGUAGAUGUAUUAAGCAAUCUUGCAGCCUCCUCGUCAAAUAAAGUGCAACUUGUAGUAGGUGUAUGUUCACUAAUUUGGAGUCGAACACGAUACCUAACGUACCAUUCAUGUUAGUGUAGAGUAAAUAUAAUAUAACAGUUCUUGUUUAUAUCUUAGCAAUAUAAUAUGCUUACCGGGUUGUGACCUUUUCUGGAUAUACACCACAACUCUUGCAAUAAUAAUUGUCGGUUUGCUUGUUAACCAAUUUGUGACACUUAUCACAUGACAUGUACCACCAUUGAAUAUUUUCUUGCAAAUGAUCUAUUGUAGAUAUUGUUGUGAACACAAAAUCCUAAAAAAAAUCAACAUUAGCAUUUGGGUGGGGGUGGGGGAUUAAGAGACAUAUAUAAGUACAAUUAGGUUUCAUUGCAACUAAUAUGAAUGAAUUGUCCAUGCAGGCCUUAACUCGUAUCAUGAAGAUUGAUGAUAUCAUUUAUUGGAAUUCCGAUGCAUUACCUGGUCUGACUGAUUUUCAUGCCUCAUUGUAGCUAGAAGUGAUUUGGCGUCACUUCUUCGACGUCUUGAUGGGAACAGUUGGGCGUGGCUUCGUCGGGCGUUGAGCGUGCUUCAGGUGACUUUGUCGGACGUCGAUUUAAGCGGCUAGAGGUGGCUUUUCGUCUAGAUGUAGUGUGGCGUGUGGCCUGUGUUGCCUGACUUCUAGUAGUUGUUUGGUAGGUACUUGUGCGUCUGGCUGUAUUUGUUUAUAGUUAUAUAUGGGUUGAGGUGAUUGUGACCGUGUGGAAAUCAGAUAGCCGACAAUGGGCUGAAAUAAGAUUUGUUCUAUUUGCAUGCA